rnacentral:rRNA from 1 species
CAGCAGCCGCCGCGGGAAUACGAGGGGGGCUAGCGUUGUUCGGAAUUAUUGGGCGUAAAGGGUGCGUAGGCGGUUUGGCAAGUCUUAUGUGAAAUCUUCGGGCUCAACCCGAAGUCUGCAUGAGAAACUGCCGGGCUUGAGUAUGGGAGAGGUGGGUGGAAUUUCCGGUGUAGCGGUGAAAUGCGUAGAUAUCGGAAGGAACGCCUGUGGCGAAAGCGGCUCACUGGACCAUAACUGACGCUGAGGCACGAAAGCUAGGGGAGCAAACAGGAUUAGAUACCCGCGUAGUCCCUGUCUCUUAUAU